GGAUUCGACGCCGGUAUCGAAACCUUAGGUGCAUGUCGAGAGGGUAGUGACUCUCGUUAAUCAAUCGCUGCAACUUUAUAGUUGCCAACGACGAUAGCUACGCACUAGCAGCCUAAGAGCUUGCUAGCGAUUGCCACUUGGAUGUCCGUAAACAGGUGUUUUGCAAUUGUCAUAUAGAACGGAAUCGUCACCUAGCGCGCUUGACGCGAAGUGACUAAAAAAGUAUCAAGCUCGCCCAAAUCACCCUGCCCGUCGGGCGGAUACGGGUUAACUCAAUAGACGACGCUACACAUGUAGAGCCGAAGGCAGAGGACUGGUGGAGGCGG
rnacentral:tmRNA from 1 species